rnacentral:rRNA from 1 species
AUUGAACGCUGGCGGCAGGCCUAACACAUGCAAGUCGAGCGAGCGGCGGACGGGUGAGUAAUGUCUGGGAAACUGCCUGAUGGAGAGGGAUAACUACUGGACACGGUAGCUAAUACCGCAUACCAUCAGAUGUGCCCAGAUGGGGUUAGCUAGUAGGUGGGGUAACGGCUCACCUAGGGGACGAUCCCUAGCUGGUCUGAGAGGAUGACCAGCCACACUGGAACUGAGACACGGUCCAGACUCCUACGGGAGGCAGCAGUGGGGAAUAUUGCACAAUGGGCGAAAGCCUGAUGUAGCCAUGCCGCGUGUGUGAAGAAGGCCUUCGGGUUGUAAAGCACGUUCAGCGGGGAGGCGUUACCCGAAGAAGAAGCACCGGCUAACUCCGUGCCAGCAGCCGCGGUAAUAC